rnacentral:rRNA from 1 species
GCGUGAGUGAAGAAGGCCUUCGGGUUGUAAAGCUCUUUUACCCGGGAAGAUAAUGACUGUACCGGGAGAAUAAGCCCCGGCUAACUCCGUGCCAGCAGCCGCGGUAAUACGGAGGGGGCUAGCGUUGUUCGGAAUUACUGGGCGUAAAGCGUACGUAGGCGGUUUUUUAAGUCAGAGGUGAAAGCCCGGGGCUCAACUCCGGAAUUGCCUUUGAAACUGGAAGACUUGAACAUGGGAGAGGUAAGUGGAAUUCCGAGUGUAGAGGUGAAAUUCGU